UGCUUGCCAGGGUCGUUUGUUCUGUCUUCCUGACCCGUACGGGUGUUCCUGUGCUGCUGGGUUUACUGGAAUAGACUGCACGCAAGGUUGUAAUGGUGGGAUGUUUGGAGCUGAUUGCAAGCAGGCAUGUCACUGUGCAUCAGGCGAUGUUUGCGAAGAGGAUACUGGAAAAUGUGCUGGAAAUUGUGUAGAUCCAUAUUUUGGAGAAAACUGCCAGUGUGCAAGUAAGACAUUGAUCUAUUUAAUAUUGGUUAAAUUUAUUGAAGCGGUUGCCUGUACUGUAGAAAGAUUUGUCGAUCCACACACGCAGUAGCGAUGUCUUUUUUACUGUAACAAUAAUAAUAGAAACAUAUAAAUCUACCAUGUAAAUUAAUAGGUGGGAACGAUGCAGUUGUUACACUUACGCUACCGGUAAGUUC